AAAGGUUAGCUAGCAGAACUAUAACUAGGGCAAUAUGACUGGGUUCUUGCCCCAGGGGGUUAAAUUUUAGAAGGGGCUAAUGACACUUGGAUCUUACUAGUUUGUCAUUUGAGUUUAGUCAACAAGCUUUUAUUAAGCUUUACAAUAUGCCAGGCAUUCAUUGUCCCCAAGCAGGUUACUUUAGUUUUUCCCUAAAAAGAAUUGAGAUAUUUCUUAAGACUUGAUUGAUUCAGGAAAUUAAGAUUGCAGAGUGUUGACAUCACUUCCUCUGAAGACAAAGCAGUCAAGGGAUUGCUAGGUGGCUCAGUGGAUAGAGAGCAAGGCUUCGAGAUGGGAAGUCCUGGGUUCAAAUUUGACCUUAGACACGUCCUAGCUGUGUGACCCUAGGAAUUUCAGAUUUGUGUUUGAAGAUCUCAAACACCUCGCAGCUAUACUAGUCUCCAAACUUGAGACUUUCAUGUCUUGACGCUUCCUCCAUUGUUGAAAGAAGUUCCUCUGGCCUCCUCCCCUAAUGGUCAGAGAAGCAACAGAAAGCUCCAAACCAGUGUGGACUGAAAAGCUCAUCAACCAUAGGAGCCUGGCAGCAGGAAGCACAACUCCGUUUGCCAGAACAGGAUGAAACAGUUUUCACACUCGAGAGAACAGUGAUCAUGUCUAGCUGACCUCCGUUGAAUACUUGUGAGAACAACAACAAUAAUGAAGGAUAAUGAUAAUAAUAAGCACCCCUUAUAGAGUGUCCUGGGAUUUGCAAAGGGCUUGAAGUCUCAAAGUACAUGUUGUAAUCAGAUACAGAGGACCCCGAAAUUGUUUACAAGAAACACGUGAGGACUUCCCUGGAGGAAGGGGCAGAUGAGAAGAAUUUGCCCCAAAGGCCACGAAGGGAGCUGAUGAAGGUGCUGGGGAGUGUGUAGAGCUUGGUCAGACAUCAAGGACACUGAGGUCAUCCCCUGCAACCUAUUGCCAGUUCUUCUGACUCUUGUCUUGCCACUGGAUUGCGAUGGCUUUGAAACUAUGAUUACAACUUCAAGCCACUCUGCCUCUCUUCAAUCCAACCCACGCUGGAGUUGAGACAUCACCCUGUAAUGCCACUGGUCCUCUUCAAAAAUGAAGGAUGAACAGCAAUUGGCAGAGGAUAGAGGAUACAGAAGCCUUCUAAUCAUCAAGCUGUGCUCUCUGGAAGGUGAAGAAUGGAAGGAGCUGAGAACGAAGGCUAGGAACCAAGUGGAACAAAGUGAGUGUUGAAGGGUAUUCUGACCAGUCACCAAAAAGGGAGGAUCACCGGAAGAUGAAAUUGAGAUUCAGUGAUAAGAAACCAGGUAGUAAAGUAUGGACAAAACAUUUGUGAUUGCCAAAGGAGUAUGGGAGGUGGAAAAUGACAGAUAACUCUGCUAGAAAGGUCAAAUUCGAACUCAGGUUUUCCUAGCUCCAGGUCCAAUAUUCUAUCUGCUAUGGCACCUACCUGCUCUUUCUCUUUUUUCUUUUAUCAUACCAAUUACUCAUUUUAUGAUUGUUUUUAUCUAAUUAUUGUAUAUCUUUAAAUAAUGCUUUUGCUCAUUGUCCUCAUGUGUGCAUGUCUUAUUUAC